CCCUUAGAUGUUCUGGGCUGCACGCGCGCUACAAUGACGACUUCAACAAGUUUCCUUUAUAUAUUAAAGGUAAUUCUUUGUCGGAAGACAUGGAUAAUCUUUUAAAACGUCGUCGUGAUGGGGCUAGAUUCUUGCAAUUUUUGAUCUCUAACGAGGAACUUCUAGUAAACGUGGGUCAUUAUCCCACAUUGAUUACGUUACUGCCCUUUGUACACACCGCCCGUCGCACCUACCGAUUGAAUUUCUAGGUGAAAACUUGGGACGUUGUUUUGCCGAGAAAUCUUCGGGUUUCUAUGUUGCAUUACGAUGAAACUUGUUUAAACCUUGCAAUUUAGAGGAAGGUGAAGUCGUAACA
rnacentral:rRNA from 1 species